GACGAACGCUGGCGGCGUGCUUAACACAUGCAAGUCGAACGGAAAGGCCCUGCUUUUGUGGGGUGCUCGAGUGGCGAACGGGUGAGUAACACGUGAGUAACCUGCCCUUGACUUUGGGAUAACUUCAGGAAACUGGGGCUAAUACCGGAUAGGAGCUCCUGCUGCAUGGUGGGGGUUGGAAAGUUUCGGCGGUUGGGGAUGGGCUCGCGGCUUAUCAGCUUGUUGGUGGGGUAGUGGCUUACCAAGGCUUUGACGGGUAGCCGGCCUGAGAGGGUGACCGGCCACAUUGGGACUGAGAUACGGCACAGACUCCUACGGGAGGCAGCAGUGGGGAAUAUUGCACAAUGGGCGGAAGCCUGAUGCAGCAACGCCGCGUGCGGGAUGACGGCCUUCGGGUUGUAAACCGCUUUCGCCUGUGACGAAGCGUGAGUGACGGUAAUGGGUAAAGAAGCACCGGCUAACUACGUG
rnacentral:rRNA from 1 species